CCUAUGACAUAAACAACACCCGGAUACUACAAACUCUGUUUAAAAUUCAAAGAACUUGGCGGUGUCUUAUACAGUCAGGGGAACCUGUCCCUUAAUUCGAUAAUCCACGAAUGCCUUACCUUCUCUUGUAAUACCAGCCUGUGUACUGCCGUCGUAUGUAUACCUUUAAAAGUAAGCAUACAAUAAUAAAUUCUAUCGACGUCAGGUCAAAGUGCAGCCUAUGAGAAGGGGGAGAUGGGUUACAACUUUAAAAAAAGCCAACCAUUAAUGAAAAUUAAUACAAAAGAUGGACUUGAAAGUAAUGACUCUACUGAACAAUCAUGAAUAGGAAUCUAAGACAUGCACACAUCGCCCGUCACUCUCGUCGAAAGAUG
rnacentral:rRNA from 1 species